UCAGAUGCGAAAGCGUGGGGAGCAAACAGGAUUAGAUACCCUGGUAGUCCACGCCGUAAACGAUGUCUACUUGGAGGUUGUGGCCUUGAGCCGUGGCUUUCGGAGCUAACGCGUUAAGUAGACCGCCUGGGGAGUACGGUCGCAAGAUUAAAACUCAAAUGAAUUGACGGGGGCCCGCACAAGCGGUGGAGCAUGUGGUUUAAUUCGAUGCAACGCGAAGAACCUUACCUACUCUUGACAUCCAGAGAACUUUCCAGAGAUGGAUUGGUGCCUUCGGGAACUCUGAGACAGGUGCUGCAUGGCUGUCGUCAGCUCGUGUUGUGAAAUGUUGGGUUAAGUCCCGCAACGAGCGCAACCCUUAUCCUUGUUUGCCAGCGAGUAAUGUCGGGAACUCCAGGGAGACUGCCGGUGAUAAACCAGAGGAAGGUGGGGACGACGUCAAGUCAUCAUGGCCCUUACGAGUAGGGCUACACACGUGCUACAAUGGCGCAUACAGAGGGCAGCCAACUUGCGAAAGUGAGCGAAUCCCAAAAAGUGCGUCGUAGUCCGGAUUGGAGUCUGCAACUCGACUCCAUGAAGUCGGAAUCGCUAGUAAUCGUGGAUCAGAAUGCCACGGUGAAUACGUUCCCGGGCCUUGUACACACCGCCCA
rnacentral:rRNA from 1 species